rnacentral:rRNA from 1 species
GAUGAACGCUGGCGGCGUGCCUAAUACAUGCAAGUCGAGCGAACAGACGAGGAGCUUGCUCCUCUGACGUUAGCGGCGGACGGGUGAGUAACACGUGGAUAACCUACCUAUAAGACUGGGAUAACUUCGGGAAACCGGAGCUAAUACCGGAUAAUAUAUUGAACCGCAUGGUUCAAUAGUGAAAGACGGUUUUGCUGUCACUUAUAGAUGGAUCCGCGCCGCAUUAGCUAGUUGGUAAGGUAACGGCUUACCAAGGCAACGAUGCGUAGCCGACCUGAGAGGGUGAUCGGCCACACUGGAACUGAGACACGAUCCAGACUCCUACGGGAGGCAGCAGUAGGGGAUCUUCCGCAAUGGGCGAAAGCCUGACGGAGCAACGCCGCGUGAGUGAUGAAGGUCUUCGGAUCGUAAAACUCUGUUAUUAGGGAAGAACAAAUGUGUAAGUAACUAUGCACGUCUUGACGGUACCUAAUCAGAAAGCCACGGCUAACUACGUG